AAUGGAGUCCUGAUUCAUCAGCUUUUCCUCUCACACUUUUCCUCUCACCACGUCAGCGGCAGAACAGAAGGCUGGAGGUCACCUAGGAGGAGAGGAAAUUCCCACAGUUGUCUCCAUUCAAAGAUGCAGAAUCCACAAACAAAGGAAAUGAAUUUCCCUGUCUCCGAAAACAAAAACAAUUAUGAGACUGCAGCUCCCCCCAGGAGAACACCAGUCUCUGCAAACAAAUGAGACCCUCAGGGAAGACCCUAAAGCCGUGAGAAGAGACCUAAACUCUUCCUUUCAAAAAUUUAUUGUAACCAUUGUUGCGGACACUGUUGCGGAUCGCCUCAAGAUGGCGAUGGUGAAGCCAGC